UACGGAGGAUGCGAGCGUUAUCCGGAUUUAUUGGGUUUAAAGGGUGCGUAGGCGGAUCGUUAAGUCAGUGGUCAAAUUGAGGGGCUCAACCCCUUCCCGCCAUUGAAACUGGCGCUCUUGAGUGGAAGAGAAGUAUGCGGAAUGCGUGGUGUAGCGGUGAAAUGCAUAGAUAUCACGCAGAACCCCGAUUGCGAAGGCAGCAUGCCGGCUUCCGACUGACGCUGAAGCACGAAAGCGUGGGGAGCAAACAGG
rnacentral:rRNA from 1 species